CACACCUUCUGAGUGGUGGUGUCCUGAAAAUUGCUGAUAAAGGCUGGAAUUUAGACCCUCAACUGUGAUUGAGACACAACAAAACAAAAUAUCUAGUGCUGUUCCCCCAAGAAAAUGAUAAUUGCCUUCAAACUGUAACAGCUCAGGCCGGG
rnacentral:lncRNA from 12 species